rnacentral:rRNA from 1 species
AACUAGGAUGUUGGCUCAGAAGCAGCCAUACAUUCAAAGAGUGCGUAAUAGCUCACUAGUCGAGAGGUCCUGCGCCGAAAAUGUCCGGGGCUAAAACACGACACCGAAGCUGUGGAUCCGAAAGGAUGGUAGAGGAGCAUUCUUAAGUCGACGAAGCUGUACUGUAAGGAGCAGUGGAGAGUUAAGAAGAGAGAAUGCCGGAAUGAGUAGCGAGAUUUAAGUGAGAAUCUUAAAGGCCGAAUAUCUAAGGUUUCCAGGGUAAAGCUGAUCUUCCCUGGGUAAGUCGGGGCCUAAGGCGAGGACGAAAGUCGUAGUCGAUGGAUAACAGGUUGAAAUUCCUGUACUGCUUAUGAACAGAACUGUGGGGACGCAGAAGGAGAGCACGAGCCGGAAAUGGAAAAGCCGGUACAAGCGUAUAGCAGUCACAUAGGAAAAUCCGUGUGAGAAAUGUAAAGCGCGAUGUGGAUCGAACAUUAGUAGAGAAGCGUGUGAGCCAGCUGCCAAGAAAAGCCGCUAUUGUUUCAUGAGUACCCGUACCGUAAACCGACACAGGUGGAUGAGGAGAGAAUCCUAAGGCCGGCGGGAGAAGCAUUGUUAAGGAACUCGGCAAAAUGACCCCGUAACUUCGGGAGAAGGGGUGCCCUUGAAAAAGAGCCGCAGAGAAUUGGCCCAAGCAACUGUUUAGCAAAAACACAGGUCUAUGCAAAACCGAAAGGUGAGGUAUAUGGGCUGACGCCUGCCCGGUGCUGGAAGGUUAAGAGGAGAGGUUAGCGCAAGCGAAGCUUUGAAUUUAAGCCCCAGUAAACGGCGGCCGUAACUAUAACGGUCCUAAGGUAGCGAAAUUCCUUGUCGGGUAAGUUCCGACCCGCACGAAAGGCGUAAUGAUUUGAGCACUGUCUCGACAAUGCAUCCGGUGAAAUUGAAGUACCAGUGAAGAUGCUGGUUACCUGCGCCAGGACGGAAAGACCCCAUGGAGCUUUACUCCAGUUUGAUACUGGGAUUCGGUACUGUCUGUACAGGAUAGGUGGGAGGCUAGGAAAUGGUGACGCCAGUUGCCAUGGAGCCAACCUUGGGAUACCACCCUUACAGUACUGGGUUUCUAACCUGCAGCCGUGACCCGGCUGGGGGACAAUGUCUGACGGGGAGUUUGACUGGGGCGGUCGCCUCCGAAAGAGUAUCGGAGGCGCUCAAAGGUUCCCUCAGAAUGGUUGGAAACCAUUCGAAGAGUGCAAAGGCAGAAGGGAGCUUGACUGCGACACCGACGGGUGGAGCAGGUACGAAAGUAGGACUUAGUGAUCCGGUGGUAUAAAGUGGGAUUGCCAUCGCUCAACGGAUAAAAGCUACCCUGGGGAUAACAGGCUUAUCACUCCCAAGAGUUCACAUCGACGGAGUGGUUUGGCACCUCGAUGUCGGCUCAUCGCAUCCUGGAGCUGUAGCAGGUUCCAAGGGUUGGGCUGUUCGCCCAUUAAAGCGGUACGCGAGCUGGGUUCAGAACGUCGUGAGACAGUUCGGUCCCUAUCCGGCGUGGGCGUAGGAUAUUUGAGAGGAGCUGUCCUUAGUACGAGAGGACCGGGAUGGACAAACCUCUGGUGUAUCUGUUGUUUUACCAAAGGCAUGGCAGAGUAGCCAAGUUUGGCAGGGAUAAACGCUGAAGGCAUCUAAGCGUGAAGCCCCCCUCAAGAUAAGAUAUCCCAUCUUCGGAGUAAGACCCCUUGA